GAUGAACGCUGGCGGCGUGCCUAAUACAUGCAAGUCGAGCGAACAGAUGAGAAGCUUGCUUCUCUGAUGUUAGCGGCGGACGGGUGAGUAACACGUGGGUAACCUACCUAUAAGACUGGGAUAACUCCGGGAAACCGGGGCUAAUACCGGAUAAUAUUUUGAACCGCAUGGUUCAAUAGUGAAAGACGGUUUCGGCUGUCACUUAUAGAUGGACCCGCGCCGUAUUAGCUAGUUGGUGAGGUAACGGCUUACCAAGGCGACGAUACGUAGCCGACCUGAGAGGGUGAUCGGCCACACUGGAACUGAGACACGGUCCAGACUCCUACGGGAGGCAGCAGUAGGGAAUCUUCCGCAAUGGGCGAAAGCCUGACGGAGCACCGCCGCGUGAGUGAUGAAGGUCUUCGGAUCGUAAAACUCUGUUGUUAGGGAAGAACAAAUUUGUUAGUAACUGAACAAGUCUUGACGGUACCUAACCAGAAAGCCACGGCUAACUACGUGCCAGCAGCCGCAGUAA
rnacentral:rRNA from 1 species